rnacentral:rRNA from 1 species
AAAGGGUGCGUAGGCGGUUUAUUAAGUCAGUGGUGAAAGACGGUCGCUCAACGAUUGCAGUGCCAUUGAUACUGGUAGACUUGAGUGGGAUUGAGGUAGCUGGAAUGGAUAGUGUAGCGGUGAAAUGCAUAGAUAUUAUCCAGAACACCAAUUGCGUAGGCAAGUUACUAAGUCUCAACUGACGCUGAGGCACGAAAGUGUGGGUAUCAAACAGGAUUAGAUACCCGAGU